rnacentral:rRNA from 1 species
AGAGUUUGAUCCCGGCUCAGGAUGAACGCUGGCGGCGUGCCUAACACAUGCAAGUCGAACGGGUGUACGGGGAGGAAGGCUUCGGCCGGAAAACCUGUGCAUGAGUGGCGGACGGGUGAGUAACGCGUGGGCAACCUGGCCUGUACAGGGGGAUAACACUUAGAAAUAGGUGCUAAUACCGCAUAACGGGGGAAGCCGCAUGGCUUUUCCCUGAAAACUCCGGUGGUACAGGAUGGGCCCGCGUCUGAUUAGCCAGUUGGCAGGGUAACGGCCUACCAAAGCGACGAUCAGUAGCCGGCCUGAGAGGGCGGACGGCCACACUGGGACUGAGACACGGCCCAGACUCCUACGGGAGGCAGCAGUGGGGGAUAUUGCACAAUGGGGGGAACCCUGAUGCAGCGACGCCGCGUGGGUGAAGAAGCGCCUCGGCGCGUAAAGCCCUGUCAGCAGGGAAGAAAAUGACGGUACCUGAAGAAGAAGCCCCGGCUAACUACGUGCCAGCAGCCGCGGUAAUACGUAGGGGGCAAGCGUUAUCCGGAUUUACUGGGUGUAAAGGGGGCGCAGACGGCGAUGCAAGCCAGGAGUGAAAGCCCGGGGCCCAACCCCGGGACUGCUCUUGGAACUGCGUGGCUGGAAUGCA